rnacentral:rRNA from 1 species
GACGAACGCUGGCGGUGUGCUUAACACAUGCAAGUCGAACGGUAAGGCCCUUUCGGGGGUACACGAGUGGCGAACGGGUGAGUAACACGUGAGUAACCUGCCCUCAUCUCUGGGAUAACAGUCGGAAACGGUUGCUAAUACUGGAUAUGAGCUUGCAAGGCAUCUUGUGGGUUGGAAAGAUUUUUUUUGGUUGGGGAUGGACUCGCGGCCUAUCAGCUUGUUGGUGAGGUAGUGGCUCACCAAGGCUUCGACGGGUAGCCGGCCUGAGAGGGCGACCGGCCACAUUGGGACUGAGAUACGGCCCAAACUCCUACGGGAGGCAGCAGUGGGGAAUAUUGCACAAUGGACGGAAGUCUGAUGCAGCAACGCCGCGUGCGGGAUGACGGCCUUCGGGUUGUAAACCGCUUUCAAUUGUGACGAAGCGUUUUUGUGACGGUAGCAGUAGAAGGAGCACCGGCUAACUACGUG